CGGACGGGUGAGUAACGCGUGGAAAACCUGCCGUAUACUGGGGGAUAACACUUAGAAAUAGGUGCUAAUACCGCAUAAGCGCACAGCUUCGCAUGAAGUGGUGUGAAAAACUCUGGUGGUAUACGAUGGUUCCGCGUCUGAUUAGCUUGUUGGCGGGGUAAUGGCUCACCAAGGCAACGAUCAGUAGCCGGCCUGAGAGGGUGAACGGCCACAUUGGGACUGAGACACGGCCCAAACUCCUACGGGAGGCAGCAG
rnacentral:rRNA from 1 species